rnacentral:rRNA from 1 species
AACGCUAGCUACAGGCUUAACACAUGCAAGUCGACUUUCAGCAGGAAGAAAGCUUGCUUUCUUUGCUGGCGACCGGCGCACGGGUGAGUAACACGUAUCCAACCCGCCCUUUACUCGGGGAUAGCCUUUCGAAAGAAAGAUUAAUACCCGAUGGCAUAAUGAUUCCGCAUGGUUUCAUUAUUAAAGGAUUCCGGUAAAGGAUGGGGAUGCGUUCCAUUAGGUUGUUGGUGAGGUAACGGCUCACCAAGCCUUCGAUGGAUAGGGGUUCUGAGAGGAAGGUCCCCCACAUUGGAACUGAGACACGGUCCAAACUCCUACGGGAGGCAGCAGUGAGGAAUAUUGGUCAAUGGGCGCUAGCCUGAACCAGCCAAGUAGCGUGAAGGAUGAAGGCUCUAUGGGUCGUAAACUUCUUUUAUAUAAGAAUAAAGUGCAGUAUGUAUACUGUUUUGUAUGUAUUAUAUGAAUAAGGAUCGGCUAACUCCGUGCCAGCAGCCGCGGUAAUACGGAGGAUCCGAGCGUUAUCCGGAUUUAUUGGGUUUAAAGGGAGCGUAGGUGGACUGGUAAGUCAGUUGUGAAAGUUUGCGGCUCAACCGUAAAAUUGCAGUUGAUACUGUCAGUCUUGAGUACAGUAGAGGUGGGCGGAAUUCGUGGUGUAGCGGUGAAAUGCUUAGAUAUCACGAAGAACUCCGAUUGCGAAGGCAGCUCACUGGACUGCAACUGACACUGAUGCUCGAAAGUGUGGGUAUCAAACAGGAUUAGAUACCCUGGUAGUCCACACAGUAAACGAUGAAUACUCGCUGUUUGCGAUAUACAGUAAGCGGCCAAGCGAAAGCAUUAAGUAUUCCACCUGGGGAGUACGCCGGCAACGGCGAAACUCAAAGGAAUUGACGGGGGCCCGCACAAGCGGAGGAACAUGUGGUUUAAUUCGAUGAUACGCGAGGAACCUUACCCGGGCUUAAAUUGCAGUGGAAUGAUGUGGAAACAUGUCAGUGAGCAAUCACCGCUGUGAAGGUGCUGCAUGGUUGUCGUCAGCUCGUGCCGUGAGGUGUCGGCUUAAGUGCCAUAACGAGCGCAACCCUUAUCUUUAGUUACUAACAGGUUAUGCUGAGGACUCUAGAGAGACUGCCGUCGUAAGAUGUGAGGAAGGUGGGGAUGACGUCAAAUCAGCACGGCCCUUACGUCCGGGGCUACACACGUGUUACAAUGGGGGGUACAGAAGGCAGCUAGCGGGUGACCGUAUGCUAAUCCCAAAAGCCUCUCUCAGUUCGGAUCGAAGUCUGCAACCCGACUUCGUGAAGCUGGAUUCGCUAGUAAUCGCGCAUCAGCCACGGCGCGGUGAAUACGUUCCCGGGCCUUGUACACACCGCCCGUCAAGCCAUGGGAGCC